AUGGGGAAGAAGCAGAAGAAGCCGGGGAAGGGGAAGGAGAAGACGGAGCGUAAGACGGCCAAGGGAGAGGAGAAGCGCGCCCGCCGCGAGGCCGGCAAGGUCGGCGAGGAGGACGACAUCGACGCCAUCCUCAAGAACAUACAGAAGGAGGAAGCGAAGAAGAAGGAGGUUCAUGUGGAGGAGAAUGUCCCUGCGCCAUCUCCCCGGUCCAAUGGCUCGCUUACCAUAAACCCAUCGAAAGAUACAGAACUAAUUCUGUAUGGUGGAGAGUUCUACAAUGGUAGCAAGACCUUUGUUUAUGGUGAUCUUUAUCGUUACGAUGUAGAGAAAAAUGAGUGGAAGUUGGUAUCUAGUCCUAACAGUCCACCUCCACGAAGUGCUCACCAGACAGUUGCAUGGAAGAAUAACAUAUACAUGUUUGGUGGGGAAUUCACUUCACCAAACCAAGAACGUUUUCAUCAUUACAAGGACUUCUGGACACUGGAUCUCAAAACAAAUCAAUGGGAACAAAUUCUUGCCAAGGGAUGUCCAAGUGCACGUUCAGGACACAGAAUGGUCCUUUACAAGCACAAGAUUGUGCUAUUUGGUGGCUUCUAUGACACUCUUAGGGAAGUGAGGUACUACAAUGAUCUGCAUGUUUUUGAUCUGGAUAAUUUCAAGUGGGAGGAAAUUAAGCCUCGUCCUGGUUGCUUGUGGCCAAGUCCAAGAAGUGGCUUUCAGCUUGUUGUUUACCAAGAUCAGAUAUAUAUGUAUGGUGGAUAUUUUAAAGAAGUUUCUUCUGACAAAAAUGCAUCAGAAAAAGGAACAGUUCAUGCAGAUAUGUGGUCUCUUGAUCCUCGUACUUGGGAGUGGAAUAAGGUUAAGAAGACUGGGAUGCCACCUGGCCCCAGAGCUGGGUUUUCAAUGUGUGUUCACAAGAAAAGGGCUGUCCUUUUUGGCGGUGUAGUAGAUAUGGAAGUUGAAGCUGAUGUCCUUAUGAGCAUGUUCAUGAACGAGCUGUAUGGAUUCCAGUUGGAUAAUCACCGUUGGUAUCCUUUAGAGCUCAGGAAAGACAAGCCUGCUAAAAAUAAGACAAAGGAUAUCAAAAGAAAGGAAACAGCAAAUGAUUCAGAAAGUAAUAUUGGUAAUGAGGAUGAUGAUACCAUGGACUGCUCUGAAGAAGCUACUGAUGUUCAAUCUGAAGUUGGUGGAGUUUCUAAUCACUUGACCAAGAGUCUAACCUUAAAUAAAGUUGGCUCAAGCCAAAACUCUGAUGUCAUGUCUGAUUCAACAGAACAAGAAGCAACCCCAGAGGCAAUUAAGCCCAUUGGUCGUAUCAAUGCAUCAAUGGCUGUAGGGAAAGAUACACUAUACUUAUAUGGAGGAAUGAUGGAAGUGAAAGAUAGAGAAAUUACUCUUGAUGAUCUGUAUUCACUUAACCUUAGCAAACUAGAUGAGUGGAAGUGUAUCAUACCGUCAUCUGAAUCCGAAUGGUUAGAAAUGUCCGAUGAUGACGAUGAGGAGGAUGAGGAUGAGGACGAUGAAGAUGAUAGUGCAGAUGAUGCUAUGCAGACAGAUGAAGAUGAGGAGGAGUCCGAUGAAGAAGCUGAGAAGAAUGUAGCUGUGUCCGGUGCUGUGGCUCUACUGAAGGGUGAACGUAAGAAAUUGCGCAGAAAAGAGAAACGUGCCCGGAUAGAACAGAUCAGGGUCAUCCUCGGUCUUUCUGAUUCUCAAAGGACACCAACGCCAGGAGAGUCACUGAGAGAUUUCUACAAGAGAACAAAUAUGUACUGGCAAAUGGCUGCCUACGAGCACACUCAACACACCGGAAAGGAGCUCCGCAAGGAUGGUUUUGAUCUUGCCGAAACUCGAUUCAAGGAACUGAAACCCAUACUUGAUGAGCUGGCCGUGCUGGAGGCUGAACAAAAGGCGGAGGAAGAGGCCAGUGCGUCGACUAGUUCCAAGAAAGACCCGAAGAAAGGCAAGCAGAAGAGCGCGGGAAGAUAG
rnacentral:rRNA from 1 species